UAUCCCUGCGUUACAUAAGGACCUGGCCCUAUCUGGAACGCCGGGGUCAUUGCACUUCUCCAAGUGUGGUAAAAUGCUCGGAGGUCCUCAGCAGGAAAGCGGGAGGGGAGUGCCAGCUCGGAUCCUCCUCGGGAUGGGGAGCUGGGCCCGGGCAGGGCUGGAGCUGCCGGAGCAGGGCCACAAUUCCAGCCGGGGGCAAGGCUGGUGAAGACAAAACAAUCCUAUUCUAGCUGGAGACUCAAGGACAAUCCCUUCAAACUUCAGGCCCAAAGCACAAACAACAUGAAAAGAGGAGGGCAGCGUGCAAGGCUCUCCGGGCUCAUUCCUUCUCCAGGGAGACGGUUCUGAUUUCAAAGAACAUUCGCGUUCCCUCCACCCCAGACCACCCCACUCCAACCUCAAAG